CAUGACACCGACAGCGGGGCGUCCGGGUCCCGGUCCUGCCCGUAGGUGGCCAGCAGCGCCUCCGCCUC
rnacentral:antisense_RNA from 1 species